AUUGAACGCUGGCGACAUGCCUUACACAUGCAAGUCGAACGGCAGCACGGGCUUCGGCCUGGUGGCGAGUGGCGAACGGGUGAGUAAUACAUCGGAACGUGCCCUGUUGUGGGGGAUAACCAGUCGAAAGAUUGGCUAAUACCGCAUACGACCUGAGGGUGAAAGCGGGGGACCGCAAGGCCUCGCGCAGCAGGAGCGGCCGAUGUCUGAUUAGCUAGUUGGUGGGGUAAAGGCCCACCAAGGCGACGAUCAGUAGCUGGUCUGAGAGGACGAUCAGCCACACUGGGACUGAGACACGGCCCAGACUCCUACGGGAGGCAGCAGUGGGGAAUUUUGGACAAUGGGGGCAACCCUGAUCCAGCAAUGCCGCGUGUGUGAAGAAGGCCUUCGGGUUGUAAAGCACUUUUGUCCGGAAAGAAAACCUCUGCCCUAAUACGGCGGGGGGAUGACGGUACCGGAAGAAUAAGCACCGGCUAACUACGUGCCAGCCGCCGCGGUAA
rnacentral:rRNA from 1 species